GCAAGAAGGCAACCAUGAGCAAGCCAAGAAGAGAGCCCUCAAGGGGGAACCAAAAGGCUGGCUGGUACCUUGAUCUUGGGGUUUCCAGCCUCCAGAAUGAAUCCUCUGGAAACACUAUGGAGUGAUGGAGAAAGCACCAUCUGGGGAGUCAGAUGACCUGCUCUCUAUCCCAGCUCAUCAGGGAGUCUCUGAGACAAACACUUACCAGAGCCACUCUUGAUGAUAGAAUUGGUGAUGUGACAGCCACCAAAGGAAUGUGACACAAAGUAGAAAUGAGACCUGAGAUGUGGCCUGGACCUUUACCAUGGAAAUGCCCAUAAAUUGCGUCCCUAUUCCUUAAGAUUUUAUUUAAAGU
rnacentral:lncRNA from 1 species